AUGUCAAAAGUUGGCAGGGAGUAGUCACGUGGUUCCGGUUGUUUGUUUUGCAGACUUACACCAUCAACCUGUGAGGAAGACCUAUACUUAAACCUGCCAAGUACUCUGAGCUAUGGAGAAGAAAGGCAGAUCACUCUCCACUGUACCACCAGGGAAGUCCCAGGACUUUUACACUGGAUAGGACUAAGUUUGUGGCAGCUGGAGAUCACUUAGUCCACCACUGUCCAACAUGGCAAUGAUACUCCCAAACAUCCAGAUAGGAGAAGAACAAUGCCCUUGGGGACCUUGGAGGCAUGUCUCAUGGCCUGACAGCUCGACAUCAUGGUCUUGGGUGUGGAACGUGGAUUCCCUGGUGGUCCAGUGAUCCAACUCCUGAGCCCAGGCACUGCAGUCACUGAAGCCUUCACACCUAGAACCUGUGCUUUGCAACAAGCAAAACCAGCCACUGUGAUGAGAAGCUCACACACCACAAUGAGGAGUAGCCACCACUUGCCACAACUAGAGAAAGUCUUUGUGCAGCAACAAAGACCCA